rnacentral:lncRNA from 1 species
UUCCGGACCUGGGAUUCCUGGCAGUGCCUUCUGAUGGAGAUAAUCAAAGACCAACUGACCAAUCAGCACUGCCUGAAUCUCCGAGACCACCACCAGGUCAUCUAGAGCGCUGUCUCUCUCUCUCUCUCGCACAAAAACAGCUACAGACACUUCUCUCCAACACGACGGUCUAAAACCACGCAGCUAACUCUAGCAGCUAAUGAAACGCAAUGGGUGAGAAGCCUGCAGAGUGUUGUCUACUGAGCUUCCUGAGUUGAGUUUCAAGACGGCCUGGAGGAGGAGAGGAGAGG